CUCAGACACCGUCUGAACCACUUCAGGAUCGUCAAUUGUUAAAGCCGUGUGUUCAAUUUUAAUGUAUCCUGUCUACUUUACGACAUCAGUAAUUCAAUAACUGCUGUGUAGAAGGAAGAUUUCAUCAUGGAGUGUUUUAAUGAUGAGAACAACAUGAAGAUCAUUCUGCUUCAGUUCUAUGUAUUAAUCUGUUGUCAGUAUGCAGUGUCAGAUCUAUUAACUGAUCUGGGAUCAAAUGUGAUCAUAAACUGUGAUCUUGAUGAAACUGAGGUUUAUUGGAUUUUACUGAAAGCAGCAGAUCCUCCAGCAGUCAUUCUACGAUCAAUGUCAGCUACAACAUCACCUUUUUAUUUAAAUGAUACAUUCAGAAAGAAAUAUUCAGUGCAGUUUAAACAUGGUCUGGUUAUUAAUAAUGUGACUGCUGAUGAAUUAGGAGUUUAUUAUUGUAUGAACACACGCACACCUCCAAAACUCAGCAACAGCACCAGAAUAUACUUCAACGAAUCAGCUCAACUGAGUCACAAUCAGACACGAGUCGAGUUCACUGAUCAGAAUCAAACACAAUGGCAGAUGAUUAUUAUUAUCAUAUCUGCUCUGAUGAACGGGCUUCUGAUCAUUGUGGUGAUCGUUUUUGCUGUUGGAAAAGCAGAACAGUUGGAAAAACAUAAUCAUAAUACUGAUCUGCAAACACGAGUUAUAUAUCAACCUCAAGAACCAAACCAAUUUCUUCAAUUGUAAAUUCACUGAGGUGGAAAAUAUUCAGCAAGUAAACAGCACCUUUGUGACUCUUUAACAUGUGCUUAUCAUGUGCUAUAUUCUUUUACAGAGUAAUAAUAUGAGUAUUUGGGACACUUUAUACAUCUUACUCUAGUGAAUUCUGUAAAA